GCCGUGAUCGUCUAGUGGUCAGGACCCCUCGUUGUGGCCGAGGAAACACAGGUUCGAAUCCUGUUCACGGCA
rfam:Lutzomyia longipalpis Contig29720, whole genome shotgun sequence.